rnacentral:rRNA from 1 species
UAAGGAGACUGCCGGUUAGUUAAACCGGAGGAAGGUGGGAUGACGUCAAGUCCUCAUGGCCCUUAUGUCCAGGGCUACACACGUGCUACAAUGGCCGGUACAAAGGGCUACAAUACCGCAAGGUGGAGCCGAACCCCAAAAAGCCGGUCUCAGUUCGGAUUGGAGUCUGCAACUCGACUCCAUGAAGUUGGAAUCGCUAGUAAUCGCGGAUCAGCAUGCCGCGGUGAAUACGUUCCCGGGCCUU